rnacentral:lncRNA from 1 species
ACUCCAAAAUUAGCAGCGCGAGGCCGUUGCUCCCAAGACUAAUCAUAGCCUCUCACCUACUAUAUAAAACGGCAACAUUGUAGUUCGAGUAACUCACUACCAUCAAGCAUGUAGACUCUUCACUACGAUCUGCUCACAUCGCCUACGGUUCAGAGGUAAUGUCGUACAAGACCCUGCUGUGGAACUUUCAUAAUUUGGUCAGUCGAAGUACAAUGAAUUAGCUAUACUGUAGAUGGAUGUUCAACUCACAAUAAUCAUGAUUCCAAUCAACUCACAAAAAAUUAUUCACAUUAUUAAUGCCGAUGGAUAUUCUUGAUCUGGAACGUGGCUCGCUCACCGGUAUUAUUUCUAAUUUAAUUUGUAACCUUGCUCUAAACAUUAUCUUUAGCGAACGAUUAUCAUCAAACUGACCUCCAUUUUUUUAGAUGUCACCAGAGUGGUCAUGUAUGUCGGUCCUCCUGAGAUAGAUUGCUAUGCUGCAGAUGGAAUGCGAGAAAUAGCAAUAGUUGCUAGCAAUUACGGUAUAAUUUUUCACAGAAUUUUUGAAAAGACACUUAAUUUAUACAAGGAAGAUCGCCAGCAAGCAGAGUAUAACCGUGUUGUUCUUGAGGCCUCCAACAGGGAGGUUUAUCAUACAUCGAGCAGUUUUAUUACUUUAAUUUUAUUAUUCAUAUGUUUUUUUCUUGCUUCUAUAUUAAGUAUCUAUGAAUUUAUAUCAGGGUCCCUUCUUGGGGCUGACACAUCCCCACUCACAUUCGAACACUUCCCGGCACCCAGAGAUGGCCCGAUAGGCUGUGAUUUAGAUGGUAACUCUUCAUCUACAUACAUUUUUUGCAAGUGCAUUGCUCUCUUAUGUCCCACUAAAUCUAUUUAUGUUUGUCCAGAUGUUAGGAAUGGUGUGCUUCAAGACACCUCUUUUGGUGACAGGGUUAAGAGGUUGGCGCUGCUUCAGUGGCAUCAGUACAAAGAGGUCAGCGAGAAGCUACGCGAGCGCGUUGAACUGACUAAAGAACCUCCAGCAAAUAGACAAAAGAUGAAAGAGCCAAAAAUUAUAAAACUCCGGACUAGGCCGGUGUAGAAACUUAUACGGUGAAACCUUGUUUGCCACACGAAGCCUGAAAACUUAGUCAUAUUGUGAGCCUUUCUUUCAAGAGCGACGGACUCGCACUCUAAAAUUAGAGUGUGGACUGGGGCUGCAAUUUCAGACCAUGCGCUGCUUAAACGUCCAUGAAAGAGCUAUUUUUGGACCAUGCAGAGUUUUAACGGCCAUGAAAGCAGGUAUCUCCAUGUGAUGAGCGGGGUUCCUAGAAAUCAGUUGUCCGUUUGACCUGUACAAGGUACAAAGGCACAUGUACUAUGACCAAACGUGAAGGAAGACGAGGUGUAGCUGCAUUUGGUUACAUAAUUUCUGGAUAACAUCAAUUUUUGGUCAAAUAUCACGGCUGAAAAUGUACUUUAAAGUUAUUUUUAUGUGUGUGAAGAAAAUGUCUGAAACUUUCACAUACUAAUUAAUACAUAUAUUAGUGUUGAUCUUACAAGGAAAUAAAUAAAUAUC